GAAGCUGCCCAGUGAGCCCCUUCCACCUUCCCCGAGACCACACCAGCAAGCCGAGUGCAAGAUGAACCAGUACCCCAUCUGCUGCUCAAGAUGCUUGAGACCAUUCCACUGAACCCCGAGAGCCCGAAGAUGUCUGCGUGCAGCGACUUUGUGGAGCACAUCUGGAAGCCCGGGUCCUGCAAAAACUGCUUCUGCCUGCGCAGUGACCAUCAGCUGGUGCCUGGCCGCCCCCAGCCCCGAGCUGGCUGCCUGCCCCCUCCGCCUCGCCUGCACCCCAGGCCGGAGAGCGGCCGCCCGGAAGAUGACAGCCUGAGCGGCUCACCCUACUCCAAGCCCACCAUCGCCGUGAAGCCCACCAUGAUGAGCUCUGAGGCUUCUGAUGGGUGGACAGAGGCCGGCGUGAGUGCCGACGUCGCACAGGUCAUCUGGAGACGAGCCCCCGGCAAGCUCCCCGUCCCGAAGCAGGAAGACGCGCCAGUAGUUUAUCUGGGCAGCUUCCGAGGUGUCCAGAAGCCUGCCGGGCCCUCGGGUCCCACAGACAGGGGUCACCCCCGCAACCCCCCUGCCUAUGCCAUGGUCGGCCUGCACAGCCUAGAGCCCCGGGGGGACCGAAGUGCUGCCUUCCACCCGGUGAGCUUUCCUGACGAGAAGCUUGGACGAGACGAUAAACCAGUGAUCCCCUACCAAGAGCUAAACUCCCCGCAGGAGAGCUUCCGCCACAAGCUGGCCGCCUUCUCCGGGAUGACUUCCGGCUGCCACAAGGGCCUGGGGCCCCUGCGGGAGUCCCUGCCCUCGGAGGAUGACAGCGAUCAAAGGUGCUCGCCCUCGGGGGACAGCGAAGGGGGAGAAUACUGCUCCAUCUUGGACUGCUGUCCCGGGAGCCCAGGCGCGGAGGACGCCGCCCGGGCCGGCGGUUCCCGACACAGACAGGGCGGUAGGGACUGCUCGGCAGCCUGCUGGGAGCCGCGGGUGUGUGCCAGGCCACCUGAGGAGGAGAAGCGGGCUUUGAGUUUCCCCAGGGACUGCUGCAGCCAGGGCCCGACGGAGAGCCCACCCCACUUGGGCCCCAAGAAGCAGUCCCUCGCUUCAGAGGCUGCCAGCUCUUCGGAUGGCCUCUCGUGCGGGAGCGCCAACAGCCGCGCCAGCAGCCCCCUGGCCCCUCAUCCUGAGAGCGAUUACUGCUCCCUUAGGAAGGAGCCUGGGCCGGGGAAGCAGCAGGACUCCAGCUGCCACGCCGUGGCCUCCAGCAGGUGCCCUGGGCAGACUGGGGAGCCCCAGCCCCCAGCCCACUCCAGGGAGGCUGCACAGUCUGAACCCAUCUAUGCUGAGAGUACCAAGAGGAAGAAGGCCGUUCCAGUGCCUUCCAGGCUGCAGGCCAAGGCAGAACAGGGGGCAGGCACCCCGGGCCAGGCCCAGGUGCGGACGGUUAACACCUGGGCUCAGAAAGCCGCAUCUGGCUGCGGCCAGGACAGGGAAGGCCCGGAGGUGGCCCCCAAGAUGGCAGCCACCAUCACAGUCAUGGCGGCCCACCCAGAAGAGGACCACCGGACAAUUUACCUGAGCAGCCCUGACUCCUCCGUGGGGGUGCAGUGGCCACAUGGGCCCCUGAGCCAGCAGGCUCCUGAGGCAGGCGGAGAGGAGCCUUCAGCUGGGCAGGGGCUCGGCUCCAGGGAAAGCCGGCAUCGCAGUGCCAGUGAGACCACGGCCAAGGGGAGACCUGCCAUCCCCCCCAAGAUGUCCAGGAGCAGCCCUGGAGGGUCCCCGGUAUCCCCCUCCGCCUCCCCACUGUCCGACCUCAGUGAAGGGAACUCGGGCAUCCCUAGGCCCCAGCCUCCAUCCAGGGCCCCCGCUGACCCCGCUUCUUCCUGCCAGGCCAACGGCAUCCCCGCCAGUGACUCUGCCAGGGGCCCCCCGCCUGCCACCAGCACGUCAGUCUUGGAGCAGAGGCGGCCCCGGCCCCAGGCCGGUGCCUGGAGUCGCCAGUGCCGGAUCGAGGAGGAGGAUGAGGUGGAGCAGGACUUGCUGAGUCAAAGUUGGGGGAGAGAGGUGGAAAAUGGCCCCUUGGACCCAGCCAGCUCCUCCGCCUGGCACCGUCUUUGCCCCACAGAUGGCUCCUCUGGGCAGAACAGCAAAGCUGGGACUGGGAUGAGCAAGUCAGCCUCAUUUGCCUUUGAGUUCCCCAAGGACAGAAGUGGGAUUGAGGCGUUCUCGCCUCCCCCGCCACCUCCAAAGUCACGGCACCUUUUAAAAAUGAAUAAGAGCAGCUCUGAUUUAGAGAAAGUGAGCCAGGGCUCCGCCGAGAGCCUGAGGGGCGUCCACGUCAGCUUCACCACGGGCUCCACGGACAGCCUGGCCUCCGACUCCAGGACCUGCAGCGACGGAGGUCCAUCAUCUGAGCCAGCUCACUCGCCCACCAACAGCAGGAAGAAGCUCUUUGCCCCCGUCCCCUUCCCUUCGGGCUCCACCGAGGAUGUGUCCCCCGGCGAUCCCCUGCAGCCCCCGCCUCUUCCCCAGAAGAAGCUCGUGAGUCGGGCGGCCUCUUCCCCUGAUGGCUUCUUCUGGCCCCAGGGCUCCCCCAAGCCCAGAACAGCAAGUCCCAAGCUGAACCUCAGCCACUCAGAGACUAACGUCUGUGCCCAUGAGGACUCCCACUUCAGCUACGCCUCAGGCCCCGGCGGCCGCCACCAGCACGUCUUCUCCGCUUCCGAGCCGCUGGAGAAAACUUCCAAAGGCAGUGGCCACCGGGGCCCCACGCCAGGGCUAGGGGGCAGCAAAGGCCUGCAGGGCAAAGGGGUCUCCUCCGCGUCGUCCUCCCAGCUGAGCGUAUCCAGCCAGGCCUCGGCGGGCAGCACCCAGCUGCAGCUCCACAGCCUCCUGAACAGCAUCAGCAGCAAGGAGGGCACCUACGCCAAGCUGGGGGGCCUGUAUGCCCAGUCCCUGGUCCGCCUCGUGGCCAGGUGCGAGGACCUCUUCAUGGGCGGCCAGAAGAAGGAGCUGCACUUCAGCGAGAAUAACUGGUCCCUGUUCAAGCUGACCUGUAACAAGCCCUGCUGUGACUCGGGGGAUGCCAUUUACUAUUGCGCCACCUGCUCCGAGGACCCCGGCAGCACCUACGCCGUGAAGAUCUGCAAGACCCCCGAGCCCAAAGCAGCCUCCUACUGCAGCCCUUCAGUGCCCGUGCACUUCAAUAUCCAGCAGGACUGUGGCCACUUUGUGGCCUCCGUGCCCUCCAGCAUGCUCACCUCUCCCGACGCACACAAGGACCCUCUGUCUGCCCUGCCCUCACAUCCCCCCGCCCAGGAGCAGGACUGCGUGGUGGUCAUCACUCGGGAGGUGCCCCACCAAACCGCCUCAGACUUUGUGCGGGACUUGGCCACCAGCCACCAGUCUGAGCCCGAGGUCUACGAACGGAGGGUGUGCUUCCUGCUCCUGCAGCUCUGCAACGGGCUGGAGCACCUGAAGGAGCAUGGGAUCAUCCACCGAGACCUGUGCCUGGAGAACCUGCUCCUGGUGCACUGCGCCCCCCAGGCCUCCCCUGAGCCCUCCCCCGCUGCCUCCAUUCCUCCCACCACCACAUCCCCCGCCCCCACGGCCACCCCGUCCUCUGGCCCCUCGGCCACUGUCCCUACCAGCGUCACCCCCACCCCUCCAGCCGCCCCCGCCCUUCAAGGAGGGUCCAGUGAGAAACACUUGCCCCGGCUUAUCAUCAGCAAUUUCUUAAAGGCCAAGCAGAAGCCGGGUGGCACCACCAACCUGCAGCAGAAGAAGAGCCAGGCACGCCUGGCUCCCGAGAUCGUGUCUGCCUCUCAGUACCGCAAGUUCGACGAAUUCCAAACGGGCAUCCUCAUCUAUGAGCUGCUCCACCAGCCCAACCCGUUCGAGGUGCGGGCACAGCUCCGGGAGCAGGACUACCGGCAGGAGGACUUGCCCCCGCUGCCCGCGCUGUCCCUCUACUCGCCGGGCCUGCAGCGGCUCGCCCACCUGCUGCUGGAGGCCGACCCCAUCAAGCGCAUCCGCAUCGGCGAGGCCAAGCGCGUGCUGCAGUGCCUGCUGUGGGGGCCCCGGCGCGAGCUGGUGGAGCCGCCGGGCACCUCGGAGGAGGCGCUGUGCGCCACGCUCCAUAACUGGAUCGACAUGAAGCGAGCCCUGAUGAUGAUGAAGUUCGCCGAGAAGGCGGUGGACCGCCGGCGCGGGGUGGAGCUGGAGGACUGGCUCUGCUGCCAGUAUCUGGCGUCGGCCGAGCCUGCAGCCCUCUUACAAUCGCUGAAGCUCCUACAGCUUCUGUGA
rnacentral:lncRNA from 1 species